UUAACUAUAAUUGGCUUUUGGCUAAGAUCAAGUGUAGUAUCUGUUCUUAUCAGUUUAAUAUCUGAUAUUGCGCCAUCGGCCUACAUGAUAUUAAAUUUAUUUUUUAAGGGAGAAGACCCACCACAGUAGCUUGCUACUGGGGUCUUUGCACGUGACCCAUGUGUUGCACUAUUGCACGGGCCUGGCACACCCCAU
rnacentral:snRNA from 1 species